rnacentral:rRNA from 1 species
UACAGAGGUGCUCAAGCGUUGUUCGGAUUCAUUGGGGCGUAAAGGGUGCGUAGGCGGCGCGGUAAGGUCGGGUGUGGAAAUUUCCGAGGCUUAACUUCGAAACUGCAUUCGAUACUGCCGUGGCUUGAGGACUGGAGAGGAGACUGGAAUUUACGGUGUAGCGGUGAAAUGCGUAGAUAUCGUAAGGAAGACCAGUGGCGAAGGCGGGUCUCUGGACAGUUCCGUGACGCUGAGGCAACGAAGGCCAGGGGAGCAAACGGG